CCUAUUAUUUAAGAGCUUAACAUUGUAAGUAAAUAAUAAUUAUGAAAGCAAAAAAUUAUGGCGGUAUUUUAAGCUUUUCAGAGGAAUUUGCUCUUUGAUGGAUAAAACACCAAAAUCUUACUUAGAUUUGUCAUUUCAAUUUGUAUACCACUAUUAAAACAAUUUAUAACUUUAAUUGUUUAAAUUUACAAAACUAAAAUAUAUUAAGUCAAGGUGCAGUAAAAAUUUAAGGAUGAAGUGAAUUACAUUACUUUUUAGUGAAAUAAAUUUAUAACAAUAUUUAGGAUUUGAAAGUAAAAUUAAAAUAGGAUGUUAAUU
rnacentral:rRNA from 1 species